ACAUCAUCUACUAAAUUGAUUUCACACCCCGCUAAUGGAUGGUGAGGCACAGUUUGAAAAACUGCAUUCUUUCAGGACACUGAAUGGUCAGAACCCAAUGUGCUUUUAUUCAUUCAUUCAACAAAUAUUUGUGGCCAUGUAUAAUGUAUCAGGUGCUGUAUUUACUGUACUUCAUGCCAGGAAAGCAACAGAGAAGAAAACAUACCCAGUCCAGUCCCUGACCUCAUGUCAUUUACAAUCUCGGCUAAUCAAGUUCACAAAUAAAUAAUUCCAAAUCAUGAUGGGAGUGAAGCCAUAGAGGAUAAGAGGGCUCGGGGUGGUGAUCAGAGGUCUCUGAGGCAAUGAUCUGGAAGCUGCCACCUACAAGAUAAAGAGUAAGCAAGAUAGAGACAGCAGGAAUGAGCUCUCCGACGGAGGGCAUGAACAGCAAGUGCAAAGGCCCUGCGACUCGAAAGAGCAUGAAAGACUGAGGAAGCGGCCAGUGUGGCUCCAACACAGUGGAGGAGUGGGGGGAUCCUACUGAGAUAGAGGCCCUGGAGCUGGCUCCUCCACAGCUCUCAGGAAUGACAGUAAACACAGACGGCCCUGCAUGUAUUCCGGCUGUGGCAGCCUUCCUCCUGGGCUGCACAUCAGGCUAACAAGCCCAGCCCUCAGCUUCACAGGGAUUGGAGAGCUGGUGACCCUAGUCAAGGAAGCUGGUGACCCUGGAUCAGUUGCCUCCCCUCUCUGUGCCUAAAUCCCCCACCCCACUUCUGUCAAUUAGGAGGAUGAUGCCUUCUUCAAAGUGUUGUCAUAAAGAUUAAAUCCUUAUUAAAGUCUGUUUUUGUUUUUGUUUCUGU
ensembl:lncRNA FAM83A-AS1 FAM83A antisense RNA 1